rnacentral:rRNA from 1 species
GACGAACGCUGGCGGCGUGCUUAACACAUGCAAGUCGAACGGAAAGGCCUGCUUUCCCUUGUGGAUUGCGGGUACUCGAGUGGCGAACGGGUGAGUAACACGUGAGUGAUCUGCCCCCAACUUGGGUAUAAGCCUGGGAAACUGGGUCUAAUUCCCGAUAGGACUGCAGGGUGGUGCCUGUGGUGGAAAACGAUUUUCUAGUGGUUGGGGAUGAGCUCGCGGCCUAUCAGCUUGUUGGUGGGGUAAUGGCCUACCAAGGCGGCGACGGGUAGCCGGCCUGGGAGGGUGGACGGCCACUUUGGGACUGGGAUACGGCCCAGACUCUACGGGAGGCAGCAGUGGGGAAUAUUGCACAAUGGGCGGAAGCCUGAUGCAGCGACGCCGCGUGGGGGAUGACGGCCUUCGGGUUGUAAACUCCUUUCGACCGCGAGGAAGCCACCUGGUUGGAAGGGUGGUGACGGUAGUGGUAGAAGAAGCACCGGCUAACUACGUG